UCAAAUGGGGCACUUGUUCCUGACAACCUUGGAGUUGUGACAAUGGGGAUCAUCUAAUUCUUAUGUGUCACCUCUUCUCAGAAGCCUUCCAGCCUUCCCCGGGCUGACAGCCCAUCUCUGCACCUUUGCAAUGUCUUCAUUUUGAACUUAGCACAUGGCUUUGUUGUGAGCUCUUCCCCUCAAAAAGGCCUUGAAGAUGAAGAAGGAUCGUGUCUUACUCAUGUCUGUACAUGAGACCAGGACAUAGAAGGAGUUGAAUGCAUGUUCCCUGUUUAGCUUCCUGGAGCUGCCGUAAGGAGGCUUCUCAAAGGGGGUGGUGUAGGAGAGACUGUGGCCUGGCACUUUUGGAGCCUGGAGGUUGGAGGUGUUAGCUUAUGAAAAUAUUGGCUGAGCUCAGCUCCCUGGUGUGAAAUGCAAAUCCUGGGAAAUUCAAACAUACUGGGGGACACGGUGCUGAUCACAGCUCCCUGGAAGCGAUGCCUGAGAUGGAGCAAGCAGCCCAGAGUCCGGGGGGCAGGGUGAGCCCCCACACUCUGAGACACAGCAAGUGUGUCCCAUACAGGUUUCUGUCACCCCACUCUCUGGGAUCAGUGCUGGGGUGGAGCAGAUUUGGGGCACACACAGGGUCUGCUCAGGAACACCUUGGCAUCAGUGCCCUUCGCUCCCUUGCCUUCUUCCUUCCCCCUGCCCUCGGUUGGACUGGCUGGAAGUCUGCUGUGCUCUGACCUUUCCUCCAAGGCUUUGAUCAUUGACAUUCAAGAGCCCAGGCUUCCAAAACUCACCAGCAUUCUCUGAACUGUAUUCUUUCUGCCAUGCCUUUGAAAAGUGUAUUUUACAUCUCAGUGAUUAGAGCCCAGAUUUCUGAAGAGCAGAAAUGUAUCACUCUUUGGUGUGUAAUCUGAUAUUCCCUUUGACAGAGGAAGAGCAUAAUCACUGACAUGGUAAAGCUGGGUUCAAAUCCUGGCUCCACCUCUUAUAGGGCAAGUUGCGUAAGUUCUCCAAGACUCAAUUUCCAUACCUGUGAAAUGGGCUGAUAAUGGUACUGAGCAGAGUUGCUGCAAAGACUAAUUGAGAUACCCGAUCUAAAGUACUUGGGACCAAGUCUGACACAUGAAACCGCUAAAAUAUGCUAAUCAUUAUCAUGGGAAAAUGUUUGCUGAUAGACUGAUUGAUGGGCUCUAGGUUUCAGUAAGGCAAGGUGCUGGUGCUGGUGUGUACCAAAAGCAGAAAUGCAUUUUCCACAUGGUGGCUAUAUUUAGCAAUACAUCUCUGCCAUUCUUUCGAGAUAAAAAGAUUUUGUUUUCCUCGGAGUCCUUUCGAGUCAUGUAAUAAGGCUUAUAUAUAGUGCCUUUUGUUCCAGAAUCUGAGAGGAGCCCUGAAAUCAAAACAUCACAAGAGUUGAAUGGUUGCAAAAAUAAAAGCAACAAUUUACUUUUGUUUUUGAAAAGCUCUCCUUCCUUUGCAACUUGGCAGCUGGAUGUGAAGAUGUAUGUAUAUUUGACCCGAGUCUCAGUCCAGCCACUGAUGAUAAAUUACACUUGCAGCUUGGCUCCCAGCGAUGGAGUAAAUAUGGAUCUCUUGAUGUUCAGAAAGAGGAAAAUAAGAAAUAAAUGAUCAGAAGGAGAGGAAACCACUUUUACUGAAAGACUACUAGGGACCAAAAACUUAUGUCAAAUUCCAAAAACUGCUAUCAUUUACAGAGCAGGAGAGAGGCUCUUAAUUGCACAGCAAUUAAGUGGCAGAGGGAAUUCCAGACUCAGGUCACUCUUUGUCACAAAGCCCAUGUUCCCAUCACAGUACCACAUUGCUACCCUCAUAGCGUUAGACUACCUGGUGACCCACGGCUCCCAGACAGACAAAGACAUUGCUUUAGGCUUGACAUUCCAAGCCUAAAGGAAACUGAGGACAAAGACCUGUUCUCUUUGGGAGAGAGGCUUGCCACCCAGCUAUCAAGAAGAUGUUUAUGACACCAAGACAGCUGCCUUCUGACACUUAUGAAAUCAGGCACGUUGACUGAAACAAUACCCGCUCAAUCCCCAAGACACCUACCUGUGCCGACUCUGGACUUCUGCCCUCCUGAUCUUCCUGGAGGAAACUUAGUGGCAGAACCAAAUUUUCCAGAGUCCUAUGUACUAGGAUGUCUAAGAAAUGCAGGUUUGAAUUUGCAGCCUCUGCAGUGGGAAGGAAGUAGUAACGGUGCCCAGUUGGUAGUAGACCACAGUUGCUCCUUAAAAGUGGGCAGAAGGCAGCCCAUCCACCACGCUCACCUCACCCCCGACGAAGACAGUUUCAUCAGCACGCCGCAAAGCACUCGGUCAUCCUUGGAAGCACACGCUAAAUUUUCCUGUACCACUCAUCUCUCCAAAUUUGAAGAUGAGUAACUGUGGCAUCUUGAAAACCAGCUCAGGAGAUAGAAACAUGUGACAUGAUGCAUGGUUGCUUUGCUGCAGGGAGAGUGGUUGAACGUUUGGUCCUUGGAGUCAGCCAAUACCUUGGCUAAAAGCCCAAUGGCAUCACUUACUAGCUGUGUGACCUUGAGCCAGUUGCUUACCUUCUCUGAACGCCUUUUUCCUUGCCUUUGCAAUUGGGCAGGUUAUAAUACCAGCCUCCAAGGGCUAAAGUAAAGUCUCCUUGAAAUGCUGUCUUUACACUAUUGUAAAAACAUUUCCUGGAAGACACUUAAAAGUUAAUAAAUGGCAGCUGCAUUCACCAUCAUUAUCACCAUCACAUGUCACCAUUACCUCAUGAAAAAAAGGAGAAGAAACAUUUUCUGAGCCUUUUAAAACCUCUCUCCAUCCACUUCUGAUUCAGAGUAACCUAUGUGCUGUUGAUAAAGCUGCUGCAUUAGUUCAGCAGAGGAACUAGGUCCGUGUCGCCUUGCCUUGGAAGUCUGUGGCCCCGUCAGCUCUGCCACUUCCCUACAUCAUGGUUGUGUGUGUCUGGUGUCAGCAGGGAUGUGGGGCCAUUGAGCUCUACCUGUCUCCAGCACCGUGUCCUGAGCAAACAGGUCAUGUCUCCAAGGUUUGUUUCCUCACCUGGCCCCUGGGAAUCAUGUUGCUGCCCCUUUGGGCUACCUGAGACGGUUUUCCCAGCAUAUAAUAAAUGCGCAAAAAUCCCAGCAUAUAA